GACGAACGCUGGCGGCGUGCCUAAUACAUGCAAGUCGAACGCAGUGGGGACGGGUGAGUAACACGUGGGUAACCUCCCAUCAGAGGGGAUAACACUUGGAAACAGGUGCUAAACCGAUACUGAUGGAUGGACCCGCGGUGCAUUAGCUAGUUGGUGAGGUAACGGCUCACCAAGGCCACGAUGCAUAGCCGACCUGAGAGGAUGAUCAGCCACACUGGGACUGAGACACGGCCCAGACUCCUACGGGAGGCAGCAGUAGGGAAUCUUCGGCAAUGGGCGCAAGCCUGACCCAGCAAUGCCGCGUGAUUGAAGAAGGUUUUCGGAUUGUAAAGCUCUUUUGUUAGGGAAGCGGUACCUAACCAGAAAGCCACGGCUAACUCCGUGCCAGCCGCCGCGGUAAUUC
rnacentral:rRNA from 1 species